rnacentral:rRNA from 1 species
AUGCAAAAAGUGGUGGGUUUGUGGCCGAUUACUAACGAACCUGAUCAGGUUGUGUGGUCCCUGGGGAGAAAGAAGAACAAGUUCACUACUAAAUCAGUCUAUGAAUACCUGGAAAGAAAUUUAGUUGCGUGUAAAUAUAACUGGAUUUGGCAAGCAAAAAUUCCGCUUAAAAUUCAAAUCUUCCUGUGGCAGCUAUUUCAAGAUUCUAUCUUGACUAGAGAUGUGAUGAAGAGGCGGAGAUGGUUGGGGAAUCCUUCCUGCUCCUUUUGUAAUAACAAAGAAACAUCCUAG